rnacentral:rRNA from 1 species
GACGAACGCUGGCGGCGUGCUUAACACAUGCAAGUCGAACGGUGAAGCGCCUUCCUUUUUGGUGGGUGUGGAUGAGUGGCGAACGGGUGAGUAACACGUGAGUAACCUGCCCCCUUCUUCUGGAUAACCGCAUGAAAGUGUGGCUAAUACGGGAUAUUCUGGGUCUGUCGCAUGAUGGGUCUGGGAAAGAUAUUGUUUCGGUGGGGGAUGGGCUCGCGGCCUAUCAGCUUGUUGGUGGGGUGAUGGCCUACCAAGGCGGUGACGGGUAGCCGGCCUGAGAGGGUGGACGGUCACACUGGGACUGAGACACGGCCGAGACUGCUACGGGAGGCAGCAGUGGGGAAUAGGGCACAAUGGGCGAAAGCCUGAUGCAGCGACGCCGCGUGAGGGAUGGAGGCCUGCGGGUUGUGAACCUCUUUCGCCAGUGAAGCAGGCCUGCCUCGUUUGUGGGUGGGUUGACGGUAGCUGGAUAAGAAGCGCCGGCUAACUACGUG